UGACUCUCGGCAACGGAUAUCUCGGCUCUUGCAUCGAUGAAGAACGUAGCGAAAUGCGAUACUUGGUGUGAAUUGCAGAAUCCCGUGAACCAUCGAGUCUUUGAACGCAAGUUGCGCCCGAAGCCAUUAGGCUGAGGGCAUGCCUGCCUGGGUGUCG
rnacentral:rRNA from 1 species